rnacentral:rRNA from 1 species
UACGAAGGGGGCUAGCGUUGUUCGGAUUUACUGGGCGUAAAGCGCACGUAGGCGGAUCGUUAAGUCGGGGGGUGAAAUCCUGGAGCUCAACUCCAGAACUGCCUUCGAUACUGGCGAUCUCGAGUCCGGAAGAGGUGAGUGGAACUCCUAGUGUAGAGGUGGAAUUCGUAGAUAUUCGCAAGAACACCAGUGGGCGAAGGCGGCUCACUGGCCCGGUACCUG